UUACGGCCACAUCACGUUGAAACACCGGUUCCCAUAUGGUCACCUAAGUUAAGCAACGUCGAGCCUGGCCAGUACCUAGAUGGAUAUUCGCUUUGGAAUACCAGAUGCCGUAAG